rnacentral:rRNA from 1 species
GACGAACGCUGGCGGCGUGCUUAACACAUGCAAGUCGAACGGUGAAGGAGAGCUUGCUCUCCGGAUCAGCGGCGAACGGGUGAGUAACACGUGGGCAACCUGCCCCAGACUUCGGGAUAACGCUUCGAAAGAGGUGCUAAUACCGGAUACGAACUCCUUGGGCAUCCUUGGAGUUGGAAAGUUUUUCGGUCUGGGAUGGGCCCGCGGCCUAUCAGCUUGUUGGUGAGGUAACGGCUCACCAAGGCGACGACGGGUAGCCGGCCUGAGAGGGCGACCGGCCACACUGGGACUGAGACACGGCCCAGACUCCUACGGGAGGCAGCAGUGGGGAAUAUUGCGCAAUGGGCGAAAGCCUGACGCAGCAACGCCGCGUGAGGGAUGCCGGCCUUCGGGUUGUAAACCUCUUUCAGCAGGGAAGAAGCGAAAGUGACGGUACCUGCAGAAGAAGCACCGGCUAACUACGUGCCAGCCGCCGCAGUAA